rnacentral:misc_RNA from 1 species
AUGUGGCCGACAAGUGUCGAAGCGCUCCGGUUCUACCACACAUUUGCAUUCUCACCGGGACGACGGCGACGGCUCUUCGGAUUAUCGAUUGUUUUUGUGAUUGCCGCGUUAUGUGUGACGUCAUGCGAUGCAGAUGCAGUUCCAGCACCGUCUCCAGAAGCGGAACCAUCACUCGGUGCGGGAGCAAAUCCGUAUUUGUUGGACUCGUUGGUGAAAAGGCUUCCCAAAAAAGGCGACAAAAAGGAAAUCCUGAUCAGUUACCUGGCCGCUGUGCCCACACUAAUGGGAGAAAUUGAUCAAUACCUUCUCAAUUUAUCAGCUUCAAACUCUGCACAAAAUUCGUCUAAAGAUCGAGAAAGCUUCUCAAAAAAGCUCAAUCAAAUCGUGCACUGCCUGACAACUGAUGCUUACGUUUCUGUGGUUUCGGGAGCAUUAGUGGCGGCUAUUGUAGAGAUUAAUCAGGAUAAAGAUCUCAUUCCUGCUUAUCAGUUGAAAUAUGUCUUUGGAAAUACUUGUGGAAACGAUUCUCAUAGUACUCGCUUGUUCAUGGAGCACUGGCAAGCCGGAGCUCGCGUCUUCAUUGGUCCUGAAAAGAACUGCAAGACUGAAGCUGCGAUGGCUGCUUCACAGAACCUUCCAAUCAUCAGUUAUCGAUGCAAUGAUCAGGAUAUUUCUCGUGAUGACUACCACUAUCGAACAUUUGCACGUACUGUACCACCAGCUGGAGAGAUCUUCAAAGCCUUCAUGUCCUUGAUGAAACAAUACAACUGGCGGAAAUUUUCGGUUGUCUAUGAUGUUAAGAAGGGUCAAGUGAAGAACGAGCUUUUUGAAACAUUGAAGAGAAUGGUGGAGACUGAAAACAAAUUUGAAGAGCACAAGUUUGAAAUUAUGAAUGUUUCAAAACUCGAGUUCUCGAAAAUGGAUAUCAGUAGUCAACAGGACAUUCAAAGCAUUGAAAAUGCCAUAAAAUCGACGAUGCAGACAACGAGAAUAUACCUGACAUUCGACAACGUCCGACUCUUCCGUACAAUGUUAUCAAUUAUGGGAGAAAUGGGACUAACUCAACAGGAUUAUAUGCUCAUUUAUGUUGAUACCAACUACGACUGGCUUAACGUCUACCAUUCAAUGAAUAAUCAUUUUUUGAGAAAUACUAUGACAUACUUACAUCAUUCCUGGGAUGCUAACAAUUCAUCAGAUAGAAAAAUGCUCGAUUAUGCAAGAAGUGCUCUUUCGAUUAUUCCAACUCCAGUCAAAUUGAAUAGUCAAAGGUUUUACAAUUUUUGGAAGAAAGCCGGUGACUAUAUGCAUCAUUUUGGAGUCCAGAAAGCUGAUAAUUUGAAGGGAAAUAGAAUUGCGUGUUACCUCUACGAUGCAGUUUACUUGUAUGCGAAAGCCAUUCACGAGUUAGUCGAAGAAUAUGGUAAUGAUGAUUCUUACGAUCCGACGGCAGAUGGGAAGGCUAUUAUCGAUAGAAUUGUUAAUAAGAAAUAUCGAAGCAUCCAAGGAUUUGACAUGAGAAUUGACGAACGAGGAAACUCGAAAGGAAACUUCUCGCUUCUCAGUUGGCAAAAAGUGGCACCAAUCAUGAACAAGUCCGAUCCAUCGUAUUAUCCAUUGGACCAUGCUCUUGAUUUGACUGCUAUUUUCGUUGAAGCUCCUGAUAAGGAUAGACUACCAAAUCUGCAAUUCAAGUCCUCACGGAUUCAAUGGUUGAAAGGAGAACCACCACCGGAUGAACCUGUUUGUGGUUUCCAUGGCGAAAAUUGUCGGAAGAAGGGAAUCUUCAGUUAUCUCACAGUGGUCGUUAUGAUUCUCAUUGCAGUUUUCAGUCUUGUGCUCACUGGAUUUACUUUGAAUUACAUCCGAAGUCGCCGCUUCGAGAAAGAGUUGUCCAUGAUCUGGAAGAUUGAUCCAUAUGAAGUUCGCCGUGUUGUCGGAGGAGUGAACAAUGAAUCAACAGCAUCUCUAAUGCAAUCUGAUGUCAUGCAGUUUGCAAAAACAAAAACACCUUGGUGGAGUAAAGCGCCGGUUCAAGGAACAGGAAUGCGGGGACUUGCUUCAUACAAGGGAACACUCGUUGGGCUGAAAGAUUUGAUGUAUGGCCGGAAGCCGAAAGAUCUGACACGGGAAGCUAAGAAAGAGUUGCGAGCAAUGAGACAAUUAGCUCAUCCAAAUGUCAAUAACUUCCUUGGAAUUAUUGUAUGCCAAUAUUCAGUUACGGUUGUCAGAGAAUACUGCUCUAAAGGAUCACUUCACGAUAUUUUGAGAAACGAAAAUCUAAAGCUGGAUCACAUGUAUGUUGCCUCAUUCGUAGAUGAUCUUGUGAAAGGAAUGGUGUAUAUUCAUGACUCUGAACUGAAAAUGCAUGGAAAUCUUAAAUCCACCAACUGCCUCAUCACUUCCCGCUGGACACUUCAAAUCGCUGAUUUUGGAUUACGGGAGCUCCGAGAAGGAAUCAUGUACGAUAGUAGUUAUAACAUCUGGGAGAACUUCUUAUGGACAGCACCAGAAGCAAUGACUAUCAACGGGUCACUGGCAAUUUCAAAUCCGCCGACUCCAAAAGCUGAUGCCUACUCAUUCGGUAUUAUAUUCCAUGAGAUUUUUACUCGAGAAGGACCUUAUAAAAUCUAUGUUCAACGUGGAGAUGUCAAUGGAGAGGCUGCUCCUAAGAAGGAUAGUGUCGAGUGUCGAGCAUUGGUUGAAAAAACAGUCCGACGAGUAUACAGUGAUCCAUAUUUCCGUCCGGAUACUUCUGAUCUUGAGGUUCAAAAUUAUGUGAAAGAAGUUAUGGCGGCAUGUUGGCAUCAUGAUCCAUAUCAAAGACCUGAAUUCAAAACAAUCAAGAAUAAAUUGAAACCACUUUUCCAUCAAAUCUAUAAACAGAAUAUAAUGGAUCAUAUGGUAUUAAUGAUGGAGAAAUAUCAAACACAAUUAGAAGAUCUUGUUGACGAAAGAACUAUUGAAUUGAAAGAUGAACAACGGAGAAGUCAACAUUUAUUGCAAAGAAUGCUUCCGAGCUCAGUUGCUGAGCAACUACUUGCUGGACAAGACGUGAUUCCUGAAGCAUUUCCACCGGUUACUAUUUAUUUUUCGGAUAUUGUCGGGUUUACAACGAUCUCUGGAGAAUCGACUCCAAUGGAAGUUGUCACGUUCCUCAACAAGCUUUAUACACUUUUCGAUAGCAUAAUUCGACGAUACGAUGUAUACAAAGUGGAGACAAUUGGUGAUGCCUAUAUGGUUGUAUCAGGAGUCCCACAGUACAAGACAAUGGAAUACCAUGCGGAACAAAUUGCAAUGAUGGCGAUUCACAUACUCUCUGCUGUCAGAUCAUUCUCGAUUCCUCAUCGAUCUUGUGAGCCGCUGAUGAUUCGAAUCGGUAUGCAUACGGGUCCAUGUGUAGCUGGUGUAGUUGGAAAAACAAUGCCAAGAUAUACUUUGUUUGGUGAUACAGUCAAUACAGCAUCAAGAAUGGAAAGUAAUGGAGAAGCAUUGAGAAUUCAUUGCUCGUCCUCAACUCAGAAGGUUUUAACAUCCAUUGAUCAAGGAUUCUUGUUAGAAGAAAGAGGCUCAUUGGCUAUUAAGGGAAAAGGACAAAUGACAACAUACUGGUUGAAUGGAAGAGCUGGUUACGAGUUCACGGAAACGAUCGAAGAUAAGAUGGUUGUACCUGACAUUUUCCCACGUCCAAAUCUCAAGAAUCGAGGAUCCAGUUGGGCAAAUCGACUAACUGCUCUUGUCCCUGCAUGUCCAUUUCAACGUCCUUCUGAUCAUAUGAACCUUCGCUUCGAACCAUCCAACCUCUCAUCUUCCGACUCGACUAGUGAAGAAUACUUGAACAAUUGAAAACGAUUGGUGAAAUCGAACUCUUCUUUAUUAUUUUCACGUGCUUGAUUCUUUGUGAAAUGUAUGCAUGUUUUUGAAUUCGAAUGAAUAGGAUGACAACGAUGUUUUUUUUUUGAAAUAUUAAAUUUUACAUAGCAUCUGAAGAUAUGUUAAUACUGGAUAGUUUUAGCUUUUAUAUUCAAGAAAAUAAGUUCUUUAUUUUAGGAGUCAAUCGCGAGUCUUCUUUGUCGCUUGCAACUGAAAAAAGUAGUCAGAUAAUGAAACGGCAAUCAGCUGCAAUGAAUCGAAAUAAUCAAGAUGUUAUCUACUAUAACCAACCAUUAAAUAGUGGUGGAUUCACUUCUCGCGGAACAUCAAAUCGCGAAAUGCCAAAACUUUACGAAGAAGAUCGCGAAAGUUUACUCAACCAGUCUGCAUCAUUGCUAGGAUCACGAACUUCGGGCAGAAAAAAAAGUACUGCGUCAAAAUACAAUGGUUUUAGUGCGUCUCGAAUGUUUUCAUCUACAAUAUCGAAUGCGUCUUCGUCACGUCCAUCUCGACCUUCUACAUUUGAUCAUGACACCUUGGCACUUCGGAAACGAUCCACAUCACUUCCUGAUGGUGAAAAAUUGAAUCUGGAAUUUAUUGAGACAACAAAUCUUGCAAAUAACUCGGUUCCGGCAAUUCCGAACAAUAUCAGUAGUUUGGAGCCAGUUUUUAGAAAAGCAAGUAUCAUUGAUGGAUACAGUUCCCAAUCGGAAUCACCAUCUCAAAGCCAAUAUCCAUCAUAUCGAGAUUUAACGACAGGACCUCAUCAAAGAAAACGGGGAAUAGCCACCGUUUUUCCGGUACGAAAACGUUCAUUGUCGUGUGGAGAUGCGGUUCCUUUGAAAAUAAAUGAGAACGGAGCAUCAGGAUCAAUAACGACGGCUGUGUCACCAAGAUCUUCGUGUAGAGCAUUGGAUCCCACUAUGAAACUUGCCGCUCGUGCUUCAAGUCCUGAUGAGAUUAUUUUCCAGGAAGACGACGAAGAUGCACUCAUUGAUAACGACUCCUUAUUAACAUCAAAUGGAAAUUCAAAAAGUGAAGAUGUUCUGAGAACAUGUCCCCAACCUAGAAGAAAAAACAAGCACUCAUUCCUCCGAGACCCAUCUCCUCUAGCAAAACGAUUCCGAGACGCGUCGCCAUUUGGAAAGAAAAAACCAUUUUGGAAUUCGAACAAAAGCAACGAACACACGUCUUCGCCAGCAGACUCAAUUUCACGACUUUUCCGACGAUUCCGUGGUGGAAGUGUCAAUGAGUACGCUGAUUUGAAUCAUUAUUGCGACGAUGAGGAUGAGAGUGGUAGAGCAAAUGGUUAUGAGAUGCAGGAGAUGGGGAAAAUGACUGGAAGGCAAAGAGAGCAAAGAAAUGGAUCGAGAACUAACCGUUCGGUCUCGUGCUCUCCGGAUGAAUGUGGAACUCUAACAGACAGUUCGGAUCCUCAUCUCACAAUUCCAUCAUCAUCAAUCGGCGAUUCAUCAGCUUCUACGUCCCUUUCAUGUUCAUAA